GUUCUAUAGAAAUUUACACAAGAGUGGGUAUUAUAACCAUUGCUUUUGAACAUGUUUUUAACAGAUUUUGUUUCAGAUUUAUUACCUGCUAUGCAAAUUUGAGAAGACCAAUGCUUGAUUAAAUGGAAUCUUGCUGAACAACUCCUGU